rfam:Thalassospira sp. HJ NODE_6, whole genome shotgun sequence.
AGGUGGCGUCCAAAUCCACCGACACUAAAGAGGCACACCAUCAUUGCCCACGUGCGGAACGGGAACUCCCCAUUCCAUAGCGAGGCAGACUUAACUUCGCAGUUCCGGUUGGCCCCGGAGCUAAACAGCAGGCAAGUAGUCCGCGUUAUCGCGCCUCCACCGCGCGCACGCAUC